CAGGACGAACGCUGGCGGCGUGCCUAAUACAUGCAAGUCGAACGGUCUUUCUAUGGAAGCUUGCUUCCACUGAGAAGAUAGUGGCGAACGGGUGAGUAACACGUGGGUAACCUGCCCAUAAGAGGGGGAUAACAUCCGGAAACGGGUGCUAAUACCGCAUAGUUUCUUGAUCGCAUGAUCGGGAAAGGAAAGACGGCCUUUGUGCUGUCGCUUAUGGAUGGACCCGCGGCGUAUUAGUUAGUUGGUGAGGUAACGGCUCACCAAGACGAUGAUACGUAGCCGACCUGAGAGGGUGAUCGGCCACAUUGGGACUGAGACACGGCCCAAACUCCUACGGGAGGCAGCAGUAGGGAAUCUUCCGCAAUGGACGAAAGUCUGACGGAGCAACGCCGCGUGAGUGAAGAAAAGGUUUUCGGAUCGUAAAACUCUGUUGUCAGAGAAGAACAAGUUGGAGAGCAACUGCUCCAGCCUUGACGGUAUCUGACCAGAAAGCCACGGCUAACUACGUGCCAGCCGCCGC
rnacentral:rRNA from 1 species